UGGGGAAUAUUGGACAAUGGGGGCAACCCUGAUCCAGCAAUGCCGCGUGUGUGAAGAAGGUCUUCGGAUUGUAAAGCACUUUCGACGGGGACGAUGAUGACGGUACCCGUAGAAGAAGCCCCGGCUAACUUCGUGCCAGCAGCCGCGGUAAUACGAAGGGGGCUAGCGUUGCUCGGAAUGACUGGGCGUAAAGGGCGUGUAGGCGGUUUACACAGUCAGAUGUGAAAUCCCCGGGCUUAACCUGGGAGCUGCAUUUGAUACGUGUAGACUAGAGUGUGAGAGAGGGUUGUGGAAUUCCCAGUGUAGAGGUGAAAUUCGUAGAUAUUGGGAAGAACACCGGUGGCGAAGGCGGCAACCUGGCUCAUUACUGACGCUGAGGCGCGAAAGCGUGGGGAGCAAACAGGAUUAGAUACCCUGGUAGUCCACGCUGUAAACGAUGUGUGCUAGAUGUUGGGUAA
rnacentral:rRNA from 1 species